rnacentral:lncRNA from 1 species
AUUGCAUAAACAUAAGAUUUACGCCACCGGAGUAGAUCUUAACUUUUUUACGAAACGGCCAUACUCUACGAAACACCGUAAAACCUGUUGCAUAAAGGCCGUGACCUACUUCGUAAAUAUUUGGAAAAUCUAGGUAUGACGUCAUACAUGAAUGAAAAUAGUGCCGGAUCUCAGCACGAAAUGCAGAAGAAUGGUGACAAUAAUGAAAGCGAUUAAAGUUCCAGUGUACUGAAAUGUGUGAAUCACGUUGUCUGGAUAAGUGGUUCAAAUCACCUUGAAUUGAUAGCGACUUUAGAAAACCUUUCGUACUUUUCAAUAUUCAUGCGCCCUCCCACAUCAAGCGGCGGUCGGCUUGGUAAACAACAUCGAUCGUGGCAUCUUGGGAGUGUGGGAUAUUCUAAGAUCAUAGAUAAUUUGCCCUCACUAUGGGUUUCAGUCGAUAUUCUACAUAAAUUUGCAUAGAACUGAGUGCACUGCAUCCGUCUUGAACAGUGCCGUAGCUGCUACUGCCACCUUUCGCCAAUUAAGUAAGCUGAGAUUUGUACACUCGCCGUCCGGUGGUUGCUAGGUAGGACACGAAAGUAAACAACAUUCCAAAGAAGAAUUUCAAGACAAGUGUCCAGCUUGGCUUGCAAGAUCGAACAAGAUCAUCAUUUGGUGGCUGAAAAUGAAGAAUUAAGAUAACCAGGGCCCAGACUAACAAGAAUUUCUAUCCGACUUCGUGGAGGAGUCUUCUGACCAACGCAUUCGGCUGUUCUACAUGAAGGUUGAAGAAUCCCGCUGGGUUCAGCCGACAGAGGGCUCUGAUAAAUCGCCGAUAGAUGGCGGCUGCUACGCCAAGAGUCACUACCUUCGUUGAAAUCGUCCUAUCAGCAGCGUCUUAUCCCGGUGUUGGCGUACUUGGGAAAAGUGAGGCUGUGCAAGCUCAGCAUCAUUUGUUCCCUUUUUUAAGAAGCGCUCUGCGUGUUACGAUUACAGUGACAUGUCAAGUUUACGUGGGUCUCUAGCUCAACUUGAAUCGCGGCCGUAUUGGUGCACAGACGUUCUCUGAAUACGUAUGGUACAUACGUGCUAGAAUCUGAGGCGAGUGUGUUUGGAUGUUCACUAAAAUCGUCAACGGAAUGUGGGAACCAGAAAUAAACAUCGACACGGC